AACCUAUUAGCUUAAAAGGUAGAGCACUAUGCGAAUGCAUAGGGGAUGUAGGUUCAAUUCCUACAUAGGUUG
rnacentral:tRNA from 1 species